rnacentral:misc_RNA from 1 species
AAGUCGUAACAAGGUUUCCGUAGGUGAACCUGCGGAAGGAUCAUUAGAAAGUCCGGCGCGAGAGCGCCCUGACCUUCAAACCACUGUGAACAAACCGUUGCUUCGCGGCGUGCUCCAGGUCCCCCAUCAGCGGGGGCCCGGCCGCUGUUCAGCCCGGCAGAAGCCCACACCAAAAACCAAUUUUUCCCGUAAACAGUCUUGUCUGAUACAAAUGAAUUAAAAUUCGUUAAAA